rnacentral:rRNA from 1 species
AACGGGAAAUUUUUGGAGCUUGCUUUGAAAAUUUCUAGUGGCGAACGGGUGAGUAACACGUGAGCAACCUGCCCAAAAGAGGGGGAUAGCCCGGGGAAACUCGGAUUAAUACCGCGUGUCAUCUCUCAGGACAUCCUGGGAAGAUGAAAGGUGGCCUUUGUGCUGCCGCUUUUGGAUGGGCUCGCGGCCUAUCAGCUUGUUGGUGAGGUAAAAGCUCACCAAGGCUACGACGGGUAACUGGUCUGAGAGGAUGAUCAGUCACACUGGAACUGAGACACGGUCCAGACACCUACGGGUGGCAGCAGUCGAGAAUCAUUCGCAAUGGGCGAAAGCCUGACGGUGCGACGCCGCGUGGAGGAUGACGGCCCUCGGGUUGUAAACUCCUGUCAUCAGAGAGUAAUGCUUCAUAAAGUAACUGUUAUGAAGAGUGAUAGUAUCUGAAGAGGAAGGGACGGCUAACUUCGUGCCAGCAGCCGCGGUAAUACGAAGGUCCCAAGCGUUGUUCGGAUUUACUGGGCGUAAAGCGUCUGUAGGCGGUAUGGUAAGUCAGAUGUGAAAGCCCGGGGCUCAACCUCGGAACUGCAUCCGAUACUGCCAUACUAGAGGAU